rnacentral:rRNA from 1 species
UGAGGAAUAUUGGUCAAUGGCCGGGAGGCUGAACCAGCCAAGUCGCGUGAGGGAAGACGGCCCUACGGGUUGUAAACCUCUUUUGUCAGGGAGCAAGGGGCGGGUCGGGGACCUGCUGUGAGAGUACCUGAAGAAAAAGCAUCGGCUAACUCCGUGCC